UGGGGCCGGUACCCAGUCUAGACUCCACAGGCUGGAUACCGAUGCAGAGUUCUAAUCUUCUCUCUGAAUAGCCUGCGAUCAUUUUGUUCCUUACCCUGUUACCCAUGCCCCUAGCCCUCCUUGCCCCUGCCCGGCUCCUCUCUUUCCCGACAAGGGCCAAUCCCUUCUCCUCUCCCACAGACCAAGAAGAAGGCCAAAAAUUGGCAAAUGCAGCAAGUAAAGGGAGAUUCAGACAAAGAAACCUCGCCACCAUCAACACCUUCAUAUUCUAGGUUUUCUCUUUUCUUUUUUGGGUUUUAACCAUCUUUCUGAAUCCUUUUUUUCCCUUGUGCCGUUUAAUUUCGAUGUUGAAAAUCAAUUGCUCUCUCUCUCUCUCUCUCUCUCUCUCUCUCUGUCUGUCUCUCUAAUAAUUUCCUGCAAUUUUCUAUUUUUUCGUUUGUGCUCAUUUGCUUAAAUUAAGUGGUUAAUUAGCUUCUGUAAAUUUAAUAAUUACCAUGGAACUUAACGUUUGUUAGUAUUAUGUGGUUGAAUAGUUGGAGAUUUUCUUGUAAGUUUGGAAAUCAGGGAGGGGAAUGCCCCCUUUCUUGCCUAAGAUGCACUGGAUUAGGCUUUUCAGAAUUGGUCACUUAAGAGAAAGAUUGAACUGGGUUGGGUGAUGGGGAGUGCCUUGUAUAAGAUGUCACCCACUGAAGUAGCCUUCAACCCACUGAAUUCGUUUAAGCGGAUUCCAUUACUUAACAAUUUUCAUUGCUUGACUGCUCAUUGCUCCUGCUUUUUGUUGAAUGACUUGGUGGUUUAAUAGUUUUUUUCUAAUCUAAAACUUAACACCCUAAAAAAGGCCAAAUAAAAGGCUCAGGCACUAAAGAUGGCUAAGUUUGUCAAAUAUGUGAGGACUGUCAGGAAGAAAGCCAAGAAGGUUCAUACACAAAUGACCUUCCAGGGUCCUAAGACAUUGAAAAAGGAUGAGAACCCAGAGUAUCCAUGCAUUUGCGCUACUCAAAGGAAUAAAUUGGACCAUUAUCAGAUUCUCUAAUAUCUUUUGACUUCAGAAUUUGCCAAGAAGAAGAUUGAAGAUAACACUACAUUGGUUUUGAUAGUUGACAUGCGUGCUAAUGGGGAGAUUAAAGAUGCACUGAAGAAGAUGUAUGACAUUUAGACCAAGGAAUUGAACCCUUUGAUCAGGAGGUCAUAGUCAACUGGAGUAUUUGAAACUUAAAGCACCUUAUGAAGUGAGGCAAAGAUGACAAAGAUACUUCACUGCUGGAGGAUGAGCUUCGUAGCUAGAUUAUGGAUAUGGAUUAAAAAUUUUGAAGGACAGUAGCAUCAAUUUCCUUUGCAUUGUUCUGAUGCUUGGAAUCUCUUGGGUGAGGACCUUGGUCCUUUAAACAGCAGGAACUUGAAUCAUUGGAAUUGUAGCUUGAUGUGUCUCUGAAGUAGGCCUACUCAGGUGAUCAUCUGGAUUGCUUUAUGAUAUUAAAGCACAGGAUUUGCACCUAAAAUCGGCACGUACGACUGCAAAUCAAAUUCAUUAUCCUGCCAGUCUUCACAUCAUACCGAUAUCAGGAGCUUUAUGUAUUUACCCUAUCUUCAAGCUGUUAAGAGAUUCUUCUCCUUUCAGGUCCUUCAAGAAAUUACUGCUGGUCUUCUUGAUUCAGCAAAUGGCUCAGGGAUUUUAGGUUUAUUGCUAGAAUAUGCAGGACAAUGAUACUUGCUCAUACUGGAGAAGCUCUCUAUUUGCUGGUUGUUUUCUUGUUGAAGGCCAUCUAUCUAUUUAUAGAGGUUGGUGGACUUUAAUGCCGGACUUGAAUUGAUUCCUUUCACGGACUUCAACUUACUUCAAUUCCGUGGACUUGAACAAAAUAUUUUGGAUUCCAGGAGUGACGUAAGUGCUUACGUCUUAUUCUAUACUUUGACUGCUUGAUGCGGUGUUCUUAUCUUUUUUUUUUUUCUCCUUGGUACAAGUCGAACACGUGUUAUUUUUGUGUUUUCUCAUCCUGCAUAAAGUUUUGAUUGUUUUAUUGCUAGAUUUUAUUCGACUGCUUUCAAAUAAACGUAUUUUUCAAUUUAGAUAAUUCAUUGUUGCCUGCGGGGUCUUUUCUGCAUAAGUAGUCAUUAUUGAAAAAAAAUGCUCCAUUUCCUCCAUAUAUACGAAAAUCUUGUUUGGGUGUAUUUUCAAAAUUUUGCAGAACAAUUUUUAUUCAAAGGGCUCUUUGAUAAUGUAUCUUGUUUUCAGAAAAGUAUUCAUAUUCCUUUCGUUGAGGGUAAACUUUUAUGUCCAACUUUUUAUAUUUCAUAAUUGUGAUAUGAUGAAAGAUAUCAUAUUUAUUUGAAUCUUCAAAGUCUAGUCCAACUGAAAUAAUCUUGAGCAUCAAAAUAUCUUUGGGACUACAUGUAAGAUUAUUUUGAUAAAUAUGCUUUAUUGCUUCUUGAUUCUACUAAGGGAGUUUGAAAAUUUCAGAAAACUUAGUAGUCGUGUGUAUAGCAUUGAUUACUCCAAAAUUGUACCACUUUUGAAUAAAAUUGCUAUCAUAUCCCUGCACACAAUUCAUCCGAGAAUAAAUUUUUAUGAAAUCUAUAUAAUAUAUUUUCGUAUUUUGUAAACCAUAUAAUUCUCUCAUAAAAGAAUUGUAUUUAGAAAUGAGCGGAUGUUCAUUACUUAUAUUAUCGAGUAUGGGUAUCUUUUGAGAUGUCUGGUUCCAAUUAAAAUAUGGUCGCAAGGAUAUUCCAUUAUUGAGAGAAUUUAUUCCAGAUCUCUCAAUCUGUUGACAAUUUUCUUGUCCCGUUGAAGGGGGAAGAUUUUUCAUUUCAUCCCUUUUGAAUAGGUCAUAUAAUAAUGGUUCAAUCUUGUUGUAAAGGCUGGUCAUAAUCUGAUCUUGUUCGGCAUGCUUGAUAAGAAGUUCGAAAACUUUUUUAUUUAUUUCUUGAUAAUUCACAAUAUUCAUUACGUCAUUUAUAGGACUAAAUAAGUUAUAUAGAAAACCCUCUAAAAUUUUGGGACAAAAAUUAAGAUUAUGCAAAAAUAAAACUUAAAGGUGAAAAUAAAAUAAUUAGGGUAAAACUUAUGAGGUAUAAUUCAAUUGAUGAAUUCAAAAAAUAAAUUAAAGAAUUAUUAGAAAUACUUUUAAUAAGAGAGUAAUUUUUCCUAUUCUUCACAUGCUUUUAUGGUAAGAAACCAUGGUGAAAUAAGAAGAAACCAUGGUGAAAUAAGAAGAAAUAAAUCUAGAAUGGUUGUAAAAUAAUGAACCAUAUUCGACGGAUACUUUUUGUCACAUAAAGAAACUCUCAUCAACAUGAGUAGAAGAAAUAAAGUAUAUUCUAAAUUUGAUUGUAAGAGUGGGUUUUGACAAAUAAAAAUGCGUUCUGAUAGUAUUAGUUGCAUAACGUUUAGUACUCCUCAAGGACAAUAUGAACGAUUAGUUAUACCGUUUGGAUUAAAAUAUGCCUUCCAAAUAUAUCAACGAAAAAUGGAUAAAAUCUUUAAGGAUUAUCCUUUCGUAUAUGUAUACGUUGAUGAUAUCUUAAUAAUAUCAAAUUCAAUAGAUUAGAGCAUUUAAAUAUAUUUUCUGAUCUAUGUCUAAAACAUGGAAUUGGAUUUUCAGAGAAGAAAGCAACGAUAUGAUUAAAAUAAAUUGAAUUUUUAACUCUAGAAAUAAAUGGUGAAGGAAUAAAAAUGCAACUACAUGUUUUAGAAAAAAUAUAAGCAUUUUCUGAUAAACUAGAAGAUAAAGAACAAUUACAAAGAUUUUUGGGAAUAUUAAAUUAUGCGUUAGAUUUUAUCUGCAAUUUAGUAAAAAAAAAAGAACUAAAAAAAUUGUUGAAGAAAAAUAAUAAAUAUGAAUUCUCUGAUAAUCAUAUAACUCUAGUAAAGAAAAUAAAAGAACAAUGUAAAAUUUAUCAUUUUUAACCCUAUCAUCGGAUGAAAAUAAUCUUAUUUUAGAAACUGGUGCUUUUGAGGAAGUAUUGUGAGGAUUCGAAAGUUUUUAUUUAUUUUAUUUUUAUUUUUAUUAAGUUAAUUUCUAAUUUCUUUUAUUGUAAUUUACUUGCCUUAAUUUCUUGGUUGCUUUAAGGGUUGAGUGUGACGCCCCGGAAAAAAAAAAUUCAGGCUUUGGAGAGUAAUUAAACUACAACUAAAAGACCAAACUAACCUUAAAAUUUUAGACUAAUUACCAUGCGACCAUCUCAUAAACUAUCAAAACCUAUAACCAAACCAAGAGAGGAAUGUUUCUGUGAUAGAAACUGCAUACAAGCAGCUGCUAGUCUAAGCGGUGGAAGGUUGGAAGCUAGCUGAGAUUGGGGCGGUGAUUGAAGGAAAAAAAAAUCCAAUGGAAACAGCUUCCAAAGUUGCUAAGCAGAAAUGGUGCAUUGAGAAAGUGAAUAAGAGUAGGUUUGGGCAGUAGAACCGAGAGAAGCUCAUCUUAUAUGCCUGUCUGCCACUUCCCACCGAAAAGAAAGACUGCUCCUCUUUAAUCAAUAAGGCCGAGAGAAAACAAGAAGAAUACAACUACUUAUUAUUUUGCUUGUUAUCACCAUGAGAUAAACAAGAGAGAGAGCCGCGGGAGUUGAGAAGAAACUGUCUUCCUGAGAGCAAAGUAAAACUUCAGUUACUCUCCUUACCAAGCCAACACCGAGAGUAAACAAAGAAAGUGAGAAAAGAGAGCAAAACUGAGAAAGUGUGAGCGAGAGUGGUUAGCUUCAUAAUCCAUUAGCCAAAGCUAAGAAAGGUGCCGCAAGGAAGCAAGAGAAGUUGGAAUAGCAGCUGGGCAGUCUGCAAUUUUUCUAACGCUAGGAGGAAAGAAAGAGGGCUUGGACUUGAGCAAGGAAACUAUCUAUGAUGGAUGAGGAUCAUGAGCUGUGGUUGGGUUCGAGGCAAAGGAAGCACUUGUAUUAACUUAUUAGUAUGACUUGAUGGAAUAUCUCAUGUAUAUUUUGAAUUUCGAUUCACUUGUGGUAUGUAAAUUCAUGGAGUAUUUGAUGUAAUAUUGAAAAUUUACAUUGUAGUUUAUUUGAGAACUGUAGUGAGUCCUGACGAGAGUUGAGCAGACGGUCCGUCGAACCCUUUUGGUUCGCCUUAGGGAGAGGUGGGGUCGUCACAUUGAGUCGAUAUUAAUCCUUUUACUUUAUAUAAUUUGGUGCAUGUUAA